rnacentral:rRNA from 1 species
GAUGAACGCUGGCGGCGCGCCUAACACAUGCAAGUCGAACGGUUAAAGCACCUUUUAGGUGUGUAUAAAGUGGCGAACGGCUGAGUAACACGUGGGCAACCUGCCCUCCUCUUGGGGAUAGCCUCGGGAAACCGAGGAUAAUACCCGAUACUUCAAUGUGGCCGCAUGACGACAUUGAGAAAGCUUUUGCGGAGAAGGAUGGGCCCGCGGCCUGUUAGCUUGUUGGUGGGGUAGAGGCCUACCAAGGCAAUGAUGGGUAGCUGGGUUGAGAGACCGACCAGCCAGAUUGGGACUGAGACACGGCCCAGACUCCUACGGGAGGCAGCAGUGGGGAAGCUUGCACAAUGGGCGAAGGCCUGAUGCAGCGACGCCGCGGGCGGGACGAAGGCCUUCGGGUUGGAAACCGCUUUCAGCAGGGACGAGGCGAUAAGUGACGGUACCUGCAGAAGAAGCCCCGGCUAACUACGUG